rnacentral:rRNA from 1 species
AUUGAACGCUGGCGGCGUGCUUAACACAUGCAAGUCGAGCGGUAACGCGGGAGCAAUCCUGGCGACGAGCGGCGAACGGGUGAGUAAUGCUUGGGAAUCUGCCCAUUAGUGGGGAACAACCAGCCGAAAGGUUGGCUAAUACCGCAUACGCCCUACGGGGGAAAGCGGGGGAUCGUAAGACCUCGCGCUAUUGGAUGAGCCCAAGUCGGAUUAGCUUGUUGGUAGGGUAACGGCCUACCAAGGCGACAAUCCGUAGCUGGUCUGAGAGGACGACCAG